GUGGACUUACGACCAUUGGAUCACCGGUUCUUGUAUGAUCACUGAAGUAAAGCAACGUCGAUCUUGGUCAGUACUGAGAUGGAUGACCACUUCAGAAUACCAGGUGUUGUAAG